GGGCAGGGUCCUAAUCUGAUAGAACCGGUGUCCUCAUUAGAGAGGGAAGAGAUGCCUGAGCUCCCUCCCUCUCUCCCUGUGGGCGCACAAAGGAAAAGCCACAUGAGGACAGAGAAAGAAGGUGGCUGUCUACGAGCCAGAAAGAGAAGCCUCACCAGAAACCAACCCUACCGGCACCUUGAUCUUGAACUUCCAGCCUCCAGAACUGUGAGAAAAUAAACGUCUGUGGUUUAAGCCACCCAGUCUGAGGUAUUUUGUUAAGGCAGUCUGAGCAGCUAAUUGGCUCUCAGUUUCAAGGCUGAUUUCAAGAGACUCGUGUUGGCCAGGAGUCGUGAUGUUACCAUUUUGGAAAUAAUUUUUUAAUUGCAUCUACCAGCUCACAGUACAGAUGAGAUCACCAAGCUGGGGGAGAAGGGACUUGCUUGAAGUGACCCUCAUGGACUGGGACUGGAAGGCAGAGCUGAACUCAAGCUACUCUGGGUGCUGCCCUGCUCCUGGAAGGAGGGGGAUAUGCUGUGCCCAGGUGUGGAAUGGAAUGGAGGGCUGUGACACACCUCCACCAUGGGGAUAUGGAGUGACCUUCUGAGAUGAGGGGGUCAUCUGUCAGGUCCCACCCUCUGUGCUGUGCCUUGAUUCAGACCCACGACACAACCAGCCGUCCACCCCACCCCAGGUGGUCCUGGCCAGGGGAAGUGCUGAAAUGCCCCCAUUGCCAUCCUGAACUGCUAUGCUGGUGAUGACCAUAGGAAAGCUUUAUUCUAGGUAUACUAUUUCAACUGCUGGGCCCCAGCUUCCUUAUCUAUAAAAUGUAGUUAGUUCCGGUUCCUGCCUUAUAUGAUGUGGAGAAGAUUAAAUGAGAUUAUGGACACGAAGCUCUUCAAAUUGCCCGGCACAGAGUAAACGCUCAAUAUUUAUCAGCUGUUAGUCAUUAGGUCUGUUUGACUUGCAGAACUUCCAGUGGUGGACAUUUUUGAAGGGAUGCUUGGGGCCCCCUCGAGAUGCUGGCCUAGCAGGACCCAGCUGCUCCAUCCUUGGAUGAAACACCCAACAAGUGUUCCCCGGGUGAUGGAUCAGGAAACUCAGACUCCUGGCCAGGGAAAACAGGCCUGACCUGCUCUCUGGAACCCCCAUGUUGCCAUCCAGGAGAUCCUGAAGCCCAAGGCACAAAUGAGGAGGAGCACAAGGAGUGCAUGUCCUGGCCGGGUGCAGUGGCUCAUGCCUGUAAUCCCAGCACUUUGGGAGGCCGAGCUGGGUGGAUCACCUGAAGUCAGGAGUUCAAGACCAGCCUGGCCAACAUGGUGAAACCCCGUCUCUACUAAAAACACAAAAAUUAGCUGGACGUGGUGGCAGGCGCCUGUAAUCCCAGCUACUCAGGAGGCCGAGGCAGGAGGAUCACCUGAGGUCAGGAGUUCAAGAAGAGCCUGGCCAACAUGGAGAAACCCCAUCUCUACCAAAAAUACAAAAAUUAGCCCGGUGUGGAGGUGUGCACCUAUAGCCCCAGCUAUUUGGGAGGCUGAGCCAGGAGAAUCACUUGAACCCGGGCAGCCGAGGUUGCAGUGAGCUGAGAUCAUGCCAGUGCACCCAGCCUGGGCAACAGAGCAAGACUCUGUUUCAAAAAACAAACAAACAAAAAACAGUAUGUCCUGGAAAUCGUUCCUCAUCAGUUCAUAGAUGUCUUCCUCAAUCAUUUUACAGUUGCACAGAACUCCAUUGUGUGACUGCACCACAGUUUAUUCAAUCACUGCCUAUGUAUAGGAAGUGAUAUUGUUUUCAAUAUUUUGCAAUUAUAAACCGUGCCACAAUGAAUAACCUUGUGCAUUUGUAUUUUCACAGUGUCUGGGGGAGUAUCUUCAGGGUAAAUUGCUGGAAGUGGGAG
rnacentral:lncRNA from 10 species